CUAUUCAGGAAGGCUGGGUGCAGUGGUACAUGCCUGUAAUCCCAGCUAGCCAGGAGGCAGAGGGAGGAGGAU
rnacentral:miRNA from 1 species